AUUGAACGCUGGCGGUAUGCUUUACACAUGCAAGUCGAACGGCAGCACGGGGCAACCUGGUGGCGAGUGGCGAACGGGUGAGUAAAGUAUCGGAACGUGCCCAGUCGUGGGGGAUAACGUAGCGAAAGUUACGCUAAUACCGCAUACGAUCUAUGGAGGAAAGCGGGGGAUCGCAAGACCUCGCGCGAUUGGAGCGGCCGAUAUCCGAUUAGGUAGUUGGUGGGGUAAAGGCUCACCAAGCCGACGAUCUGUAGCUGGUCUGAGAGGACGACCAGCCACACUGGGACUGAGACACGGCCCAGACUCCGACGGGAGGCAGCAGUGGGGAAUUUUGGACAAUGGGCGCAAGCCUGUUCCAGCCAUGCAGCGUGCAGGAUGAAGGCCUUCGGGUUGUAAACUGCUUUUGUACGGAACGAAAAGGUUUGGCUUAAUACGUUGAGCUCAUGACGGUACCGUAAGAAUAAGCACCGGCUAACUACGUGCCAGCCGCCGCCGUAA
rnacentral:rRNA from 1 species